AUUGAACGCUGGCGGCAGGCCUAACACAUGCAAGUCGAGCGAGCGGCGGACGGGUGAGUAAUGUCUGGGAAACUGCCUGAUGGCGGGGGAUAACUACUGGAAACGGUAGCUAAUACUGCAUACCAUCAGAUGUGCCCAGAUGGGUUUAGCUAGUAGGUGGGGUAACGGCUCACCUAGGCGACGAUCCCUAGCUGGUCGGAGAGGAUGACCAGCCACUCUGGAACUGAGACACGGUCCAGACUCCAACGGGAGGAAGCGUGGGUGAAUAUGGGACAAGGAGCGCAAUCCUGAUGACGCAAGGCCGCUUGGGUGAGGAGGGCCUUCGGUUUGUAAAGCAUUUUCAGCGGGGAGGCGUUACCCGCAGAAAAAGCACCGGCUAACUCCGUGCCAGCAGCCGCGGUAAUAC
rnacentral:rRNA from 1 species